CAACAAAACCACAUUCAUCUAUAAUCAAAAGAGAGUUUCAGAAUAAUUGAAUUUUUCCUUGGGUUUCCAGAACGCCGCAAAGAGGAAUCCUCUCCUUUCUGUGAUCUCCCACUUCUCUCACCCUGCACUGGCUGGAGGGCCUUUGUUUGCAUCUCCGGGGGCCCAGUCGCUACUCUGCAUUCCAAAGCCCGAAACCACUGGUCUGGGAGAGAAAGACUUUCCUGGGAUCUAAGGGGAGAGAAGUCAGGCAAGAAGCUGUUUUAAUGAGUGAGUUGGGGGAGGCUGUGAAAAUUCCUGCAUUAUUAAUUUCGUUAGAACCUGCUUGACCUACUUUUUAGUGGCGCUGUGAUUCUGACUCAGAUCUCUCUCAGAUCUGUGUGCUUUGCCCCCUCAACAUUCUACCCGGCGAGAGCCGCGAAAAAACUUGGAAAAAGACUGAGGUUUUUCUCUUCUUACCCCAAGUUCUGACUUCCUGAUUUCUGCUAUCCUAAAACGUAUGUAAUCUCUAUCACAUAAUUAAUCACCGAAUGAUGUACAAUAAUAGUCUGAUUUUCUCAUUAUUUCCUGUGUUUGACUUAGGUCAACACAGCAGAGAUCUGAAGAGGGGUUUGGACCUCCUUCCGGAGCUGCAUGGGGUGUGUGUCGUGCAGUACGGGUGCAGUGGAGUUAACCUUAUCUAUGGCUCUCAAGACAGGAGAUCCCUUGCUAUUACAAGGCAUAUUAAUUUAUUUGUUAAAUAAACUAACAAAUAACCCAGGUAUGGUGGCUUGCGCCUAUAGUCCCAGCUAAUCAAAAGGCUGAGCUGGGAGAAUCGCUUGAGCCCAGGAGUUCAAUUCGAAACCAGCAUUGGCAACUUAGUGAGACCCUGUUUCUAAAUAAAAUAAAAUAGAAAUCAAUUAACAAAUGAAAUGUUUACUGUUUCUUUUUAUGCAUUCGAUGCUCCAGUCAAAUUGAAAUACUCAUUGUUUUAAUAAUGUACAAAUAAAUAUAUUUUUAUACCUGAAAAAUUCAGAGAAAAUAACAAGGUGCAUUAACAGGAAGGUCCAUGGUGAUAGUGGAAAAAUUAUUCAGGAUUUUGGCCUAAUGGUGAUUGAUUCCCAAAAUGAAGACUGACAUAUCUUUUAUAGGUAGAAAUCGAAUGGACCAGUUACUAUUAAGUACAAAAUUAACUCAGACAGAAACAUUUUUGGAGCACCCAGCUGUGUUCCAGAGAACAGCAAGAUAAUGAAAAUAAGGUAAUAAUUCUCUCCUCCAAGAGUAGACCAUUGAAAGGCUAUCUCAGUAUUUUGGGAACAGGCAGGAAGAUAGGAUUGAAAAAUCAUUGGAUUCUUAAGGAAAUCCUGCCAUUAACUAAAGGCAGCAGCUUGAGCUUAGCAGAGUCAGCUAUUUAAAUUCACCGGACAUUGUACUGAAGAUUCGCUAGUUGUUCUUCAAUGCAUUUCGUCUUCCUCUUGGGUACACAGCAAAACUAGAUCCUCCAGCCUCUCUUCCAGUUAGGUGUGCUGAUGGGAAUGAGUUCAGAACAAUGAAAGCUGGUUAGAAGUAACCGUACCUUGAGGAGUUACCCUUGAGACCCUCUCACAGGAAAUCUGCAUUCUUUCUACUGCGAUGGCAAUCUUGGGAGCAUUGUGUAGAAAUGGAGCCAGGAGAUGGAAGAAAUCUAUGUCCCUGAAUUAUGGCUUUGAAAAUAAGAAAAGGUAUCUACUAAUCAAGAAUACUUACUUUGGACAUGUGUGGGAAACACAUCUAUUGUAUUAACUCACUAAGAUUUUGGGUUUUUCACAGCGACUACAUUAUCCUGAUUUAGGACUCAACAAACUGUGACCCAGAGUUCAAACUCAGCCCAUGGCUUACUUUUGUAUAGCCCAUGAGACAAUUUUAAAUUGUUUUAUAUUUUUAUGAGGUUAUUG
ensembl:lncRNA